rnacentral:tRNA from 1 species
UGUUCUGUGGCCUAAUUGGUUGAAGCGCCGUUCUAGCGAAUACGGAGUCAUGGGUUCGAAUCCCACCGGAGCGC